rnacentral:rRNA from 1 species
CGGGGUAGAGUAACGCGUGAGGAACCUGCCUCAAAGAGGGGGACAACAGUUGGAAACGACUGCUAAUACCGCAUAAGCCCACGGCUCGGCAUCGAGCAGAGGGAAAAGGAGCAAUCCGCUUUGAGAUGGCCUCGCGUCCGAUUAGCUAGUUGGUGAGGUAAUGGCCCACCAAGGCGACGAUCGGUAGCCGGACCGAGAGGUUGAACGGCCACAUUGGGACUGAGACACGGCCCAG